UACGGGGGGAGCAAGCGUUGUUCGGAUUUACUGGGCGUAAAGGGCGCGUAGGCGGCCAGUGCAAGUCAGUUGUGAAAUCUCCGAGCUUAACUCGGAAAGGUCAACUGAUACUGCUCGGCUAGAGUGCGGAAGGGGCAACUGGAAUUCUUGGUGUAGCGGUGAAAUGCGUAGAUAUCGGGAGGAACACCAGUGGCGAAGGCGAGUCUCUGGGAUGAUGCUGACGCUGAGGCGCGAAAGCCAGGGGAGCAAACGGG
rnacentral:rRNA from 1 species